AUGGAGGCGACGGCGCUGAGCAUUGGCAAAUCAGUGCUAAAUGGAGCUAUUUGGUACGCCAAAUCCGCCAUCGUGGAGGAGGUAGCUCUGCAGUACGGAGUCCAUCGCAACAAGGCCUUCAUCACAGAUGAGCUGGAGAUGAUGCAGUCUUUCUUGAUGGUGGCACACGAUGAGCGAGAUGAGCACAAUAAGGUGGUGAGGACCUGGGUGAAGCAGGUCCGUGACGUGGCCUAUGAUGUCGAGGAUGGCCUCCAGGACUUUGUCCUCCGCGUCCAUGGGAAAUCCUGGUGGCGCAUCCCUCGCACGUUCCUCGAUCGGCGCCAUGUCGCCAAUCAGAUGAAGGAGCUGCGUGCCAAGGUCAAGGACGUGAGCCAGAGGAACGUGCGGUACCACCUCAUCAACUGUGCCUCCAAAGCUUCUGACCUCUCCAUCACCACUGCUGCAGCCAUGUUUGGUAUCGAUGAAGCAGGAACUCAUGCCACAAGUCAGCAUGAAUCAGGAUCAAGAUUGGAUCUUACUCAGCUGAUUGUCAACAACAAGAAAGGCUUGGGCUCAGACCAAACUGGAGUUAUUGGAGUGUGGGGAACAAGCGGCACCCUCGGGCAUACCUCCAUCAUCUGGGAGGCCUAUGAGAAUACAAACAUCAAACUCAACUUCCCAUGCCGGGCCUGGGUCAGGGUGACGCACCCUUUCAAUCGCAAAGAGUUUGUUGAGAGUAUAGUGGAACAAUUUCGAGGAACCUCUGCAGGGGUGGUUGAAUUUCUUCUGGAGCCAGAGGCAAAGAAGACGACGCACGAGUUGGCUCAUGAGUACAACGGAUAUGUCAGCAAGAAUAGAUACCUGAUUGUGCUUACUGAACUAUCCACCAUUGAAGAAUGGCAUCGAAUAAAAACUUGCUUCCCAGAAAACAAACUGGGAAGCCGAAUCAUAGUGUCCACAGAGCAUGUUGAAGUUGCAAGUUUAUGCCCGGGCCAGGAAAGUAUUGCAUCGGGGCUCAAGCAAUUGUCUGCUGAACAGACUAUCUAUGCUUUCUACCAGCAGAGGUCCCAAGAUGUUACAUAUUCAUGGAAGCCAACAUCUAGCUCAAUACUACCCUGCACUGCUGAGAAUGAGAUACAAGAAGAACAAUCUAAUGAUAAUACUGAUGGAAAGAUGAUAGUACAAAAUAUGCCCACACGCAUCAACAUGAUGCCAUGUACUUUUGAGGAUUUUCAGCUUAUUGGGCGGGAGAAAGAAAAGUCUGAUAUUAUUGGAUUAAUUCGAAAACACGCUUGUACUCAAAAACUUCAGGUGAUCGCGCUCUGGGGAAUGGGUGGUAUUGGAAAAACCACUCUAAUCAAAGAUGUAUACCAGAGACAAGAGGUUAGCGACAUGUUUGAGAAACAUGCUUUUGUCACAGUUUUGCGACCUUUCAAGCUUGAGGAGCUCCUUAGAAGCUUAGCAUGUCAGUUCGAAGCAAAGAAGACCGGCAUGGACUUUGCAGGCGAUAGCGAAAAAGAUAUUGCUUUGAUGGGAGUUGCAAAGUUGACUGAACUGUUGGGCAGACGUUCACAAGGAAAAAAGUGUCUGAUGAUUCUCGAUGACCUAUCAUCGGUCAUGGAAUGGGAUAAAUUGAUGCCGAGUUUACUUGCAAUGAAAAAUCCAAGCUUGGUUAUUGUGAUCACAACAAGGCGAGAGGAUAUUGCUAAACAUUGUUGCCAGAAACCAGAGUACAUGCAAGAAGCAGAGUGCAUACGCUCGCUCAGUGGUCUACAAGACAAACAUGCAUGUGACCUCUUCAUAAAUAAGGUAUUUAAGAAUAAAUCCACAGAUUUGGCCAAGCACUAUCCAGAAUUGGUUGAACCCGCCAAGCUCAUCCUAAGGAAGUGCAAUGGACUUCCUCUUGCUAUAGUCACUAUAGGUGGUUUCUUGGCGGACCAACCAACAAAAACUGCUGCGGAGUGGAGGAAAUUAAAUGAGCAUAUCAGUGUUGAGCUAGAGAUGAAUCCAAAGCUUGAGGUCAUAAAAACAGUCCUUAUGAAAAGUUAUGAUGGCUUACCCUAUUACCUCAAGUCUUGUUUUUUGUACAUGUCCAUCUUUUCCGAAGACCGCAAUGUUAGCCGGCGACGAUUGGUGUACCGAUGGAUCGCAGAAGGUUACUCGCAGGAUAGAUCCGGAGCGGAUAGAUACUUCAUGGAACUCAUAGAGAGAAGCAUGAUAUUACCAACUCAGCAAUCAGUUUACAGCAUACAAGGAUUUGACUCCUGCCAGCUACAUGAUCUGAUCCGUGAUAUCAGCAUUGCCAAGUCAGUGGAGGAAAAUCUUGUUUUCAGGCUGGAGGAAGGUUGUAGCUCGAACACUCAUGGUGCGGUGCGUCACCUUGCCAUAAGCAGCAAUUGGAAAGGAGAUGAGCGUGAGUUCCAGAGCACCGUGGAGCUGUCCCGUAUAAGGUCAUUGACGGUGUAUGGCAAGUACAGGCCAUUUUACAUUUCCAAUAAGAUGAGGUUUCUUCGGGUGCUGGACCUUGAAGAUACAAUAGGUCUCACUGAUCAUCACCUUGAGAUCAUUGGGAAGCUUAUUCAUCUCAGAUUCCUUUCUCUAAGAAGGUGUUUGGACAUCUCCUACCUUCCAGAUUCCGUGGGUAACCUGAGACAACUUGAGACACUAGACAUCAGAUAUACACGAAUAUUGGUGCUGCCCAAAACCAUCACCAAGCUGAGCAAGCUACGUUAUCUGCAUGCUGGCGUGAGUUAUGGUGUUAAGGUUCCAGUAGGGAUUAGGAAAGUGAAUACCCUGCACACGCUGCGGUAUGUGAACCUUUUGGAGGGGAAUGCCAUCAUGCAGGAGAUAAUAAGUCUAACCGGCUUGCGCAAGCUAGGAGUGUUUGGCAUCAACGCGAAAAAUGGUCCGGAGUUCUGUGUAGCCAUUUCUAGACUCAGCUGUCUUGAAUCUUUGUCAGUUCGGUCAGAAAAAAAGGAUUUACAUGACUGCUUGCAUGGUAUGUCUUGGCCUCCGGAAAAACUGCAGACCCUCAAACUGCGUGGCUGCCUAAAUGGUUUGCCAGAAUGGAUCAAGGGGCUUGAGAAUCUCGUGAAGCUCAAUCUAGAAUUGACCGGGCUACUAGGAGAUAGUGAAACCAUGCAAGUCAUUGGGAACCUACCAAACCUAUCCAUUCUUCGUUUGCUGGACCGUGGUAUUGAAGAACCUAUCAGUAUCACUUUCCAGGCUGGCCUUUUCAGAAGCCUCGUGGUAUUCUAUCUUGUUUGCAUGCAUGUGAAAAUCGAAUCACUGGAGUUUGAGCAGACAGCAAUGCCGAAACUUGAGGUGUUGAGCCUGCGACUAUUUGAUUCUGCAACGGGCAUUUCUGGGCUGGGAUUUCUCCCAAGCAUCAGGGAAGUACAGCUCAUUGUGGAGUUUUACUCAUUUCAUAUCCAAUGCACUGAAGAUAUAACACAUAGAGAAGCACACAAUGAAGCAAGGCGCAGGGAAUACACAGUCAAGGAGGACAUCAGGAAGCAGCUCACCAGCAAUAAAAAUGGUCCCACUUUGAAGGUGCAACAUAUGUGUCGUCGGGAACAAGAACAGAAGCAGUUUCUGUUAAAUUUUGUGCAAACAUAA
rnacentral:rRNA from 1 species